UUACCUACGGGGGGCAGCGGUGAGGAAUAUUGGUCAAUGGGCGGUAGCCUGAACCAGCCAAGUAGCGUGAAGGAUGAAGGUUCUAUGGAUUGUAAACUUCUUUUAUAAAGGAAUAAAGUGAGGCACGUGUGCCUUUUUGUAUGUACUUUAUGAAUAAGGAUCGGCUAACUCCGUGCCAGCAGCCGCGGUAAUACGGAGGAUCCGAGCGUUAUCCGGAUUUAUUGGGUUUAAAGGGGGCGUAGAUGGGUUGUUAAGUUAGUUGUGAAAGUUUGCGGCCAACCCGUAAAAUGCAAAUUGAUAUUGGG
rnacentral:rRNA from 1 species